GACGAACGCUGGCGGCGUGCCUAAUACAUGCAAGUCGAACGCUGAAGCGAGGAGCUUGCUCUUCUUGGGUGAGUUGCGAACGGGUGAGUAACGCGUAGGUAACCUGCCUUGUAGCGGGGGAUAACUAUUGGAAACGAUAGCUAAUACCGCAUAACAAUGUAUGACACAUGUCAUUUAUUUGAAAGGGGCAAUUGCUCCACUACAAGAUGGACCUGCGUUGUAUUAGCUAGGAGGUGAGGUAAUGGCUCACCUAGGCGACGAUACAUAGCCGCCCUGAGAGGGUGGGUAGCCGGCCUGGGAGGGAGACACGGCCCAGAGGCACAGGGGAGGCAGCAGGAGGGCAUCGGGGGGAAGGGGUGGAAACCUGAGCGAGAAGGGCCGAGGGAGGGAAGAAGGUUUUCGGGUCGGAAAGGUCGGUUGUAAGGCAAGAAAGGGUGUGAGAGUGGAAAGUUCACAGUGUGACGGUAGCGGACCAGAAAGGGACGGCUAACUACGUG
rnacentral:rRNA from 1 species